rnacentral:lncRNA from 1 species
GUGCGAGCGUGCUGCGACCGAGGCCACGCCUCGCUGGGGUGCGUAACUCGCUGGACGGGAUCAGAGCGCCCGGUUCACACAACAACACUGGGUUCUGCCCGUUCUGCAGGGAGAAAGAGCUCAGGCCCUCAGAGGACUGGCUGAGUGCCCUAGGCUGGUCACUGGGUGGCCGAUGGAGACUUCAACUCUACCAAGGAGAACACGAAGGAAGUCUGUGUUCAUCAACAAAAUAUAUGGGCAACUCUGGCCCGUACUUUGCUUUGAGAAUCAAAGGAUGGAGGUGUGUGUGUGUGGGAAUUAAGUAAACUAAACCCCAAGGUGUGUGUGUGCGGGGGGUGGGUAUCAGAAUCUGGCUCUGGACCUUAAGGAGUCCCACUUCAAAAGAGAAAACAAGGAAAGCCACCUGAAAUCCAGGUAUUUGUGAGGCCGAGGCAGGAGAAUCACAAGUUCAAGGCCCACCUGGGCAAUUUAGCAAGAUCUUGUCUCAAAAAGCUGGGGGUGGGGGCUGGGGCUCAGUGGCAAAGUGCUUGCCUGCAUAUGUGAGGCCCUGGGUUUGAUCCUCAGCACCACAUAAAAAUAAAUAAAAUAAAGGUACAUCUAAAAGAAUAAUAA